GUUCACGCCUCGUGCUUCUUGAUGAAAGUAUUUUGUUUUCGGACAUCAUGACGCACAUUUUAGUGAAAUGCUUUAACGACGAUAAGUGGGACGUUUAUCCGGUGAAGUGGUUGGCUCACCCAACAACUAGUCUUGCGAGUCUGACGGUUUUGAUGAGUUGCGCGGCAGAGGCCAUGAUGCCUGUUGGAGAGAAGGCACCCCGAAACAGUCGCAGCCGCACUUCUAAAGAUAGGUUACGUAUGCAGUAAAUUCCCAGAUGCUAAAGUGUUCUACGCCAAAAGCACCUUGGCGUCGUGCAAGAGACACCCGUUGAUAUGUGGCUGAUUCACUAGCAAGCUCGCAUCUCUGUUCCCAAUCUCCAUCAAGUGGGAUUUUCUACUAUUUUCUGUGUUACUCUGUGGUGUACUAGCUGCUGCAUGGACGCUGUGAAGGCUUACUUUCGAUUUGCUCUGGCGUUUAGUAGUAAAGGAUAGGCUACCUUUUGAGGGGAGGCAUUUACUUUUGUUUGUGAGAAUGUUGUAUAUAUUGCUGUAUAUAUUUACGUGAAGUCAUUUGUUUCAAGUUGGUUAUUUUGCCUUCUCACAGUAAGCCGUAGCUCUUCCUGUGAUGUGUUAGUGUGCGCAACAUUUUAAUGUAACAUAUUCAGAUGUCUUUUGUGUAUUUACAUGCAAGAAGCUCCAAGUGUUCAUGUGUUCAAAGUUGGUUGUUACAAGGGUAUGCUUAAGCCCUGCCUUUUGAGUCGCUUUGCCUUCUAGUCAUAAACUUAUGCUGAAUUCCAAUGGCGGAGUGGGAGCACGUUUUUCUGCUCGUUUCGGAGCAAGUUUGUUCCAAUGGCAGAGUGAGGGCGGGAGUAAGGUGUUCCAAUGAGAGAGUCGGAGUGGAUUCAGAGCGGGAGUCACUCCGUGGAGUAGAAAAAGAUGCUCCGCCAAAAUCGGCGGAGUGGACCGGAACUCUGCGUGACGUAUUUCCUUUACCACGUUUGUCUGCUGGGAGGCGCCACCGGUCAUGACUCGCGAGGAAGCAAAAGCUGCUGCACGCUUGGCGAGAUAUCCAUUCCACACUUAAAAAAAAACAACAGGUGAACGGCGCUGAAGAGACAAGUGACCGGUGCGGCGGUGCUGGGAGUAAACAGCGGAAGGAAAUGACAACACGCAAGGCAUUCUGGGUAACUCGGUGAUAGAACUUUCGCUUCCGCCUUGCUCCGGCGGCGCAGGUUGCGUUUCACUCGCGGAUCUGGAGGCGUUGCUCUGCGCCAGAGUCGAGUGCUCGCUCGCGGAGUCCGUCGGCUGUUCCGACUACGCCAUUGGAAUUCAACAUUAAGUCGAAAGUGAAGAGCACAAUGAUCGUUUUGCUUGGAUUCAUAUGUAUAGGUUUUUUCAGAUGUAUUUACACUGCUAGAGUGCUGUAGGUACUAGCCUGUGUCUCCAGGUUCGAUGUAGUGGUGCCUUAUGUACUGUAAUAAUGUUUCACGUGCACACAUCUUUAGUGUAAAUAAAGGUACUUCAAGUUGA